AUUGAACGCUGGCGGCAGGCCUAACACAUGCAAGUAGAACGAGUGGCGGACGGGUGAGUAAUGUCUGGGAAACUGCCUGAUGGAGGGGGAUAACUACUGGAAACGGUAGCUAAUACCGCAUACCAUCCGAUGUUCCCCGAGGUGUUUAGCUCGUUGGUGGGGGAACGGCUCACCAAGGCGACGAUCCCUAGCUGGUCUGCGAGGAGGACCAGCCACACUGGAACUGAGACACGGUCCAGACUCCUACGGGAGGCAGCAGUGGGGAAUAUUGCACAAGGGGCGCAAGCCUGAUGCAGCCAUGCCGCGUGUAUGAAGAAGGCCUUCGGGUUGUAAAGUACUUUCAGCGGGGAGGCGUUACCCGCAGAAGAAGCACCGGCUAACUCCGUGCCAGCAGCCGCGGUAAUAC
rnacentral:rRNA from 1 species